UUUCUUGGGUGGGAAGUGCCGCUAGCUCAGCGAUCUCAUCUGGGCCAAGUUCUCCCCAAUGCCCGCAGUCCGACAACAUAAAAUACUAACAUCGAUUACGGUCGUCUCACAACGCUAAACUCUCUGCGAUCACUAACAAAAUGUAAACAAAGCAAAAACGUAAACAUUGAAAUACAAGGCGGCGGAAAAUUUGAAUCUUUGGUGGCCAUCGGUGUUCUUGGCCACUGCGUACCCACCCAACCUAGGAUGCUAGAAAAAGGUCUACUCACUCAUCGUUAUAAACUGGUCUUUAAUACUUCAGGCCUUAGAAUUAACUCUCAACCGCCGUAUAAGUAUUUAGCGGUCAAAGAUAAAUUCAAGAACUAAGAAAUGGACACUCACCGAAAUGUUCUGCCACCCUUGUAUCGGCAGAACUCUCUUGUUAACGCGGCUUA